CUAUAUUAAUAUUAUUAUUAUUAUUAUUAUUAUGAUACUAUAGAUCGGUUUGAGUGGAGUGGCAUGCCCUUUAUGUUAUAAUAAAAGCUUGUUUUGCAAGGUUUGCUUCUUCAUUUGUUCAUAACAAAGGGCUUUGUAUCGUUUUUGCACUUGUGCAUCGUUUUGAAAUUGCACUAGGGCUGAAGCUAUCGAUUAAUUUUAGUAAUCGAGUAAUCGUUAAGUACUUUUUCUUUAUUAAAGAGCAAAAUUAAAUAUAGAGAAAAUAAGACGGGUCUCUUAAAAUGAACGUCAUUUGUUUCCUUUUAAGGAACAAAUUACAUUUUAUUGCUGAAAUUGCAUUUGUAUGUGUGAAAACGAAAACUAUUUAGUGCAUUUAUUUGCCAUUACAUCAAAAUGUAAUGUAAUCGAAUUUUCUUCCCUAAUUUAGACUGUAUUUCUCACAAUUCAGACUUUGUUUCUCGUAAGCAUAAAACAUUUCUGGUGCAUCCACCAAUAAUCAUGUUUAAACAAGUCCUUCACCUACUUCAUCUGUCUUCUUCCUUCUCCUCCGGAGCUGAUUGUGAGACAGGGUUUUCUCCAGGGAUCAGAGGCUCAGUUUAGGGGUGACGCUGCCCAAUUGGAUAAAAAAAAAAAAGGUUGGAAUUGUGAGAAAUAAAGUCGUAAUUGGCAAAAUCUUUGUCUUUAAUGUAGCGGAAAUGGGCUUCCAUAUGAAACUUUUCCUCGCUCGUCACUGUUUUCUCCUCGUUUAACAAUUUUUUUAAUUCUGCAGCAUCUUCUGUUUUUCCUGUUCGGACGGCUCCAGAGUUGUAGAAUAGCAGGAAAAGUCAGGGAUAAUGCUGUGAGGGGAAAAACAGUGCUCCGUUUGUAGUUCAAUGGACUGCCUCGGUUAAUUUGUUUGUACACUGUUACAAUAAAAUCUACUGUAACUAUAAAAUAUUAGACAUUAAAUUUCCCCAAAACCCACAAAAUGUCCUGGCAAGUCUCGGAACGCUUCCCCCAUGCUACACCCUGGACACUUGAUUUGAAACUUUGGAAGUGAGGAUGGAUGGAGAAGAAUGAUGUGUACAAUUUCAACCCUGUAAAAACUGAAUAAAUUAAUAACAUGUAUUUUUUUAAAUGUUCCAUAGUUUUCCAACAAAAUAUCGAGGACCAUCAACAUGCAAACGUUGACAAAUCACAAGGUCCGUAACCUCUAUCCUGAACGAGAACCCUGUGUUCAUCCUCGCAGGCGGGGGAUUCCUCUGUCCUUGGUGACAACAGCUACCUGUGUGAUCGGGGCAGUGUAACUUUUCCUGGUCCUCUCCAGAGGAAAACUCAGGAGUGUUUACAACAAGUGGAUGAACCUGGUCAAAAAGAAGCCUAUUUCUUCUGGCAAAUAAUGGAGCUCUUUUGCAAUAAAAAUGGAGUAAAUGUUCAUGAUGUGUCAUAAAUUAUUGGGAACAAAAGUAUCCAGUAUUUCUAUUAAAUUACAGUGUAUUUGAUGUUUGUUUUACAGAAUUUGAUGCUGGCUGAAGUUGCCCUACUCCUCUUCAAAGGCUAAAACUUUCUCAGGGACAGGCUUGCCGGGGUUAAGAACCAGGAUGGCCGGUGUCUUCCUCUGGCACAACUUUUAUGCGCCGCUGAACCACAGUACGAGCGCUUGGUUGAAAUGGGAAAAAAGCUUGACUCUGAAGGGCAGACCUAUGCAGCACAUCUCUGCUACUUGUUGGCGCUGAAGGAGCUGUCAUCCAGUCAGGGGUCAAGUUUUGAACUAAUUGGAUGUAAAAGAUGAGUUUGAUUCACGGUACAUUCCAGGAGAGCUGUUGGAUCUGAGCUGUUGGAUCCGUCCGUGCAGGAGUACACAAGGCAGAUGGUAAACAGGUAGCCAUUAAAUAUGUGGGCAAAGGUCAGAAUGAUAAAUUUAUCACCAUG